CCUUGUCCUGUCUGGUUUUCUUAUUGUGUGCUGUCAUUUUUUGGCGCGUAUUCUAUUGAAAGCUAUGCACCAACUAGCCCCACAACGUGUUUUACUGCAGUACCUUUCUUCUACAGUGGGCCCCUUUCUAUGUGUGCCUUCCAGUGCGCCGAAUCCUUCGGUGGUGGGCUGGCAUAUCGCCCUUGCGACGUGCCGAGCGAGAACCCUAGGAUACUGCAUUAGGAAGGGACUUGUACCGACAGAAUUCGCCGCUCUGUUCGGUUGCGUUAGACCGUCGGUUGGCCAUGUGAAAAGAAUGUGCAGGAUACUACGUUCCGAGAUAUGGCGACAGGUCCGCCUGCUCUACGAUUGGCUUCACCUGGUAUGCUUUUCGCUGGACCCAGUGCACAUUGAGGCGAAACCAAGGAAACCAGCAGAACGGCGCUGCAAGUUCUCGGGGGAGCCUUCAUCCCGGAAGACAUCGUUGACGUCCUCAACAAAGGCCCCAAGUUCAGCUCCGAGCCCAGGAUCCCGGGACAUGAACUUCUCUCCUUGAAUAGAAGGAUUUCCAGCAAAGCUGCACCAGAGGACAAGGAAAGGUGUCUGCUGGACGGAGUUGACAGCCUGACCAGAACAGUGUCUAAGAAAGGAACUCGUCCAAGAACCCCCACAAAACGUAUCGUGAAUUUUUUCAACGACAAUGACCUUCGACUCCUCCAGGCCGACAAAGAAGCAGGGUUCGUGGCCAUGCCGUCGGGCAUGUUCAACGAAAGGGCUCUACAAGCCAUCCAGAAGAAUUUCAAGGUAACCAAACUCAAGCCGAGUAAGGAUAAGAGCCGUGCCAUAGCUUUGUGUGAAGACCUUGGACUACAGAAGCUCGCUAAUAGCGUCCAGAAAUGUAGAAAAAACUGUUUAAAUGUAUUCUUUACUGUAAAAACGCACAAAGAUGAUAUACCGUUCAGAUGUAUUGUGAGCGAAAGAGCUUCCUGGCAAAACAACGUUAGCCGCUACCUUCUAAAGCAGCUUAACACGUUGGUUAUAGAUGACCCAUUCAUGGUAAAGAAUAAUUUUGACGUCAUAGCCUUUUUACGUGAGUCCCAUUCGAUACGAUGCUUGUUUUCAAUAAAUGUUGUUGACCUUUUUUAUUCUAUUCCGCAAAAAGAACUGUUAG